rnacentral:lncRNA from 1 species
UGGGUUUUCAUGAUUUCAUCAAACACUUGGACGUGCCCACCCGAUUGCUCCCUUUGAGCGAAAAUAUAAAGGGUGCCCUUUUUGAUAUAGAAUGAUAUGGAACGUAACGGGUGCCUUUAACACUGCCUGUGAUGGCCAUGGAUCAACAUUCUCUCGAGAAAACACUGCAACAAAGAUGGAUUUUAGUGACCACUUCUAGUAACAGCUAUAAAAAUUUAGUCACUAUGUAGCAUUUUUAGAGGCAAGCAGUGGUAGUUGCCCCACAAAAAUUAUAUUAGUGGCAGCCAGAAAAUAUUGGUCACUGCAUGAAGACCUUUAGCGGUGGCCACAAACCACCGU